ensembl:lincRNA
UUAUGUUCCGUCCGGAGAAGGGGUUGGAGUGCAUCCCACAUAUUUUGUUAUUUGUAAAAUGCUGCCUGAGUAAUUCCGGACAGUCUGUGCUAACUCUUUUACACACUGCAUACGGUUCAUCACACUGUGUGUUCUGUUCUCAAUGACUGUUAUUGUUAUUUAAAAGUCUUUCUUUAUCUGGCUGCAUCGGGUCUCAGUUGCAGCACUGGGGAUCUUUGUUGCUUCCUGUGGUUUCCCUGGUUGUGUCGCUAGGGCGCAGUAGCUAGAGCAAAUGGACUUAGCUGCCCUGAGGCGUGUGGGAUCUUAGUUCCUCAACCAGGGGUCAAACCAGCAUCCCCUGCAUUGCAGGUGGAUUCUUUACCUUUGAGCCACCAGGGCUGGAAUCCAUCCCCAAGCACUAGGUUCUAGCACUUGCCCUUCCAGCUGUAAUCCAGCCUCUGCAUUCCCCACGGCACUCACUCUGGACCCUGGCUUGGACGAGGAGCCCUGAAGAGUUUCCUGAAUGAAGCUGAGGUCGUGCAUGAGGGAGAGAAGCGUGAACACCUCUCCUCGUCUUCCUGGGGUUUUGCUGGGUGAUGGCAGGAAGCGCUUGCCGGGCUUUCAUCAUCAGUACCCAGUCAUGGGUAUUCACGUCUGGAAGGCUUCCAUCACUUGUGUUCUCAAGUCGUUGCAGAAGUGGCUCACAGGGGCCUGGCAGCUUUGCUCCGAAUUUUCCAUCCAGAUAAGCAAAUUCAAAUGUUCUGCAAGAAACCCCCAGGCCUUCUGCUAGAAGGUUUCUUCAUGCGGAAUACAAAACAAGAAGGGUCUAGGGUUCUGUCUGGGGCAAGAGGAUUUAACACAAGGACAAGAAGAAAAUAAAAGCCACCCUUCUCCCAUUUUUCUGUCUUGCCUCUUCUCUCAAAUUCUUGGGGGAGAUUGUCCCGAUGUGGGGCUCAAAAUAAUUUCAUUUACAUUUCAAACAACUCAGAAUAAGGCAGAUAUCUGAGAUGUCCCUAAAGAACAUUUACUGAGCAUAUAGUGUGUCCAGGAUUGGGUAUCCAGGGAUGGAUAAAACAGAGUCCGCUCUUGGGUAUCUCAGAGUUAGGGGCGGGGGGACAUAAAGAUGUAUGAUUAAGGGAGAUGUUGCAGGUGCUACGAAAGAGAGGGGCUUCCCUGGUGGCUCAGAUGGUAAAGAAUCUGCCUGCAAUGCAGGAAGUUGGGGUUCAAUCCCUGGGUUAGGAAGACCCCCUGGAGAAGGGAACGGCAACCCACUCCAGGAUUCUUGCCUGCAGAAUCCCGUGGACAGAGAAGCCUGGCAGCCUACAGCCCAUGGGGUCGCAGAGAGUCGGACAUGACAGAGCACCUAACACUUCACAUUUCAUGUCUAUUCCACUAGGUGUUAGGUCCACUGGGUGGGGAUUUUUGCCUAUUUUGUUUCCUGACCUAUCUCCAGAAUUUAGAAUCGUGCCAGGUGCAUGCUUAGUCAUAUCGGACUCUUUGCAACCUCAUGGACUGUAGCCCGACGGGCUCCUCUGUCCAUGGAAUUUUCCAGGCAAGAAUACUGGAGAGGACUGCCA